rnacentral:rRNA from 1 species
UACGUAGGGGGCAAGCGUUGUCCGGAAUCAUUGGGCGUAAAGCGCGUGUAGGCGGUUUAGUAAGUCUGCUGUGAAAGUCCAGGGCUCAACCCUGGGAUGCCGGUGGAUACUGCUGGGCUAGAGUACGGAAGAGGCGAGUGGAAUUCCCGGUGUAGCGGUGAAAUGCGCAGAUAUCGGGAGGAACACCAAUUGCGAAGGCAGCUCGCUGGGACGUUACUGACGCUGAGACGCGAAAGCGUGGGGAGCAAACAGG